GACCCUCAGCGGUGGAUCACUCCGUUCUCAGGUCGAUGAAGAAUGCAGCCAGCUGCGAGACUCUGUGCGAAUUGCAGGGACACACUGAAGCACUUGCUCUUUGAACGCACAUUGCGGCCUCGGGCUUUCCCGUGGCUUCGUCUGUGUGAGGUUCG